UACGUAGGGGGCUAGCGUUGUCCGGAAUCAUUGGGCGUAAAGCGCGCGUAGGCGGCCCGGUAAGUCCGCUGUGAAAGUCAAAGGCUCAACCUUUGAAUGUCAGCGGAUACUGCCGGGCUAGAGUCCGGAAGAGGCGAGUGGAACUCCUGGUGUAGCGGUGGAAUGCGCAGAUAUCAGGAGGAACACCGGUGGCGAAGGCGGGUCUCUGGGCCGAUACUGACGCUGAGGAGCGAAAGCGUGGGGAGCGAACAGG
rnacentral:rRNA from 1 species